UUCUCAAUAAAAAAAAUAAUUAAAUAAAUAAUAAUUAAUAAAAUCUACUUGCAUUAGGAUCUGGUGCAAAAAAAUGAUACAUGCCAUCUAGCCUGAAACACAUAUUUUGCAUCUAUAUUUACUUUUGAAAGAUGUACUCACUAAAUUGUCUUUCUCUAAAGCCAAAACUGAGAUGUAUGCAGGUACAAUGAAUGGUAUGAUGGAAACAGAGUAUGCCUUACCAUUUCACUUAGUUGCACUGCUGAGUUAGCUGAGUUUUUAGUUCAUAAAAGUGUGUACUAGUUAGAUAUCUGAGUUAAUAUCAACGAGAGGAAGCUUCAAGAGUGGCAGACUGCAAAUAUGCAUGAACAAAGCAUAUCUUUAAAAUCAAACAAACAAACACACACACACUAGUUUUACAGGGCUGGAUACACAGCUGAGGAUUUUUUGGGUUGGAAGAAGCACAGAAAAUAUUGGGGUGCUCCUUCAACAAUGCAGAAAGCUCAGGCUCUGCUCAGUGAGUCUGGCUUUGCUCUAUCUAUGAACCACUGUAAGAAGGGAGCUAGUCUGCUCCUAGUAAGGAAAUGGAGCUUGGUAUCAGGCACAGGUGAGCCACUUCCAGCUCCAGCAACUCAGCAGCUGGGGAUGAAGUGCAGCGCUACAACUGCUAGGAAAAUACAAACAACAAUUUGUAAUUUGUAGCGAAUGGAUCCACCUGCUCUGCAUUGCACAGACCUCAUUCUUCACAUCAUUGUUAAAAUUAUCAGCAGGUAUCUUACUGCACAAAGUGGAGGGAGGCAUGCAGGGCAGAAGAAGGAAGUUCUGCUGAAGGCUCACUCUUUCCUCAUGCUCACUGCAGCACCCACAAGGACCUCAUCAAAGCCAGUCUGUUUCAUGAAGACAUCUGUGGUUGCUGUAAGAGGAGCACACCAGGACAACCAGAUACAGCAGGCUAGGACAGAACCUGAGUCAUGUGAUGCUUUUAGUGUAAUUUGUGCUGACAAUUAAAAUAUGUUCUUUUUCAUGGCUACAUAAAGAAAAAUGUGAAUGUUUUCUCUGGUAUUGCAGUUAAUGUAUGGGGAGUGUUUUAGGGGAGCAUGAAUCUUGCAGGGACUAGCAAAUAUUACGUACCAGCUGACCAGUUUCCUGCAUUAAUGGAUUGGCUGCUCUCCAAACUGAACCUCCUGUGUGAAAAUAGACACAUUUGUAAAGAGGUUACUCAGCAAAUUCUUCAUUUUCAACAAUGAAAUAAACAGUAUGGGCAAGAAACA
rnacentral:lncRNA from 1 species